CCAUGAAUGUUCUCUUAGAAUUAGUUCUCUCCUCCGCUCCAUCUCCAGUUCCUAACCCAGGCUGACCGAAAUGAAGCGGCCCGACAUAAGCGCUCCCGACCCAGGCUGACCCACUAUCAGCGCUCCCGGUCCCCACGGUGUCCCGAUUCAACCCCCGCUCCCGGUCCCCCCGCCCCACCGGGGGGCUCCGUCCUGCCGCCCGCGGGCGCUCCGGGCCGGGGGAAGCGGCGGGGCUCAGUGCCCCCGGCAGCGGUCGGGCGCUGACUGCUGCCUUUAAUGAUGGGGCGGGGGAAAGAGGAACCUUUCAGAGUCGGAGCCCCUGCUGGAAAAGUUAGAGAGAACUCCGGGUAAGAGGAGUGCCAAGGGUGUCCCCUCCUCCCAGCCCAGCCUGGACGAAACAGGGCUAUGCGUGCUGCCAACCGUGCCUAAAGGAGCUCAGGGGUAACCUGGCACGCACCGCUCUUUGGACAGCUUUCAGCUGCUGUUCUCGUGGGCUCUGCGGAUGUUUUGUAUUGCACUACCGAAGCGACACCUGAGGGGUAACGCGGGGUGGUGCUUUGCGAGCUCCUGAAUUUAACAAUAAUAACAAUUUCAAAAAGAAGUGCUUUGCCUGUCUGGUUCCUGCGCGUUCAGAGACCUAACUCAGCUCAGCUGCAGUAAAGCGAAGAGACAUAAAAGGAGGCCGUACACGCAGACCAAGUCCGUCACGCUGAAGCAGCAGUUGUUGCCCCCGGCCCUCCCCUGCGACUGGAUGCAACGUGGGAUAGCGUUGCUCAGAGAAACUUAACCAGACGCGCAGCGCCCACUAGCGCCCGUGCAGCCGG
ensembl:lncRNA